UGGAAAUAAAGCUCCAUACAUAGCUCGGUACUAGUAGAUCAGCAUGUUAACUAGGUUAAUUCCCAACUGUCCUACCACCAACUACCUAGCACGAGGCUCUCAACAACCUGCAGCCAGAUCCCAGGUGGUCCCAAUGGCUACAUUCAUUGAAUACAGCCUGAGCAAUACUCUCACUCCACUCUUCACUCAGCUGACCCUGUAUUCUGUGAAUUCUGCCCUAGCUCCAAACCUCUUGGUACAAAGGAACUCUCUACGUUUAGUUCUCUCGACAACUACCUACUAUAAGAUGAAGUUUCCAGGAACUCAUGUGAUCAUGAGACUCUGCAGUCACUUCAGGGGGUCUUGUUGACUGGCUCGGGGGGCUGGUGUCAAGCCCAAGCAGAAGAGCCCUCAGAGCAAGCAGCCCUGCUUCUGUGGAUGCUGGAUGGCAUCAUCACCAGGCGGGUCCUUCAGAGUACUGGGAGCAGCAUGCAGCCCG
rnacentral:lncRNA from 1 species